GCAGGACGAUCAGAUGGAGCAGGGCGAGACGUCUGGACUUGCCCCCAGGAAGCGAACAAGUCUUGGAUAGAACGCACAAUUUUGUCAGCGUCCUGAAAAGAAAAUUGCCAAUAAUAAAGAUUCUCACUACAACGAAUAGAAAUAGAAGUGAAGCAAAGACUACCUCAUCAACAAUCGUAGAAGAUGGCAUGUCCUCAGCCAAGCUUGCCACCAACGACUCCUCCAUUCGCGAGGACUUCCCCUUGUCUGAGCGAGAAGAUGUUGCCACAACGGGUAGACUCAUAGGAG
rnacentral:lncRNA from 1 species